UCCGGUGUGGUUUAGUUGGUUAUAAUACCUCGCACUAUGCUCUGCACAUGGAUACGUCCUUGAUGUAUCAUAGUGCGGCGUCGUCACCAAUUGGUAACGACGCCGUGAGGAGACCUGAGUUCGAUCCUCAGCGCCGGAC